rnacentral:ncRNA from 1 species
UUCCGAGGAGCGCUGCAACAGGGUAUCCCACCCUGCCAGGCUCGGUCGGGGUUUGCGAAUCUUCCAACGGCGCUCACUCA